rnacentral:tRNA from 1 species
GGAGUAGAAGGGUGUCUGGUGUGCCCCCCGGUCUUCAACACCGGUGUGAGGAGCUAAUACUUCUCGGGUGGGUUCGAUUCCCACCUGCUCUCGCCA